GGGGGGGGGGGGCUGGAUCUGGGCGGAGCUUACGCGCCGCUCGACCGUUCGGAUACACGCACGUUGGAUCGGACGCCAAAUCGUACCGUGUGUCCCCUGCUUAAAGCUCGCUCAUGGUUCGGCGUAAGUCCCUGUAUAUUCUUUAUAAAUAAGGAAGCCUACCUAGGCACUGUAAACCCAACAAUUGGGGCCUAAAUGCCUGCCCUCCUCCCAGCUGCGGCUUCGUUUGAGCGACAAAGUCCGAUUUCGAAGGCCGUGCUUUUGCAAACUGCAUGCCACUGAAGCGGUUGCGAAUCUUGAAGGCGACAUCCGCUUCAUUUUUUUUUAAUAUAUACAGUACAUUUUCUUAAACUUCGUAUAAAAAAGUGCAUAUUUAUACAAAGUUAACACUUUUGGACCCAAGAAAUUUGUUAAAGUGUCCCUACCGAUUGUUGUUAGGAAAAAACACGUAAUUUUCUCAUUUACGAUACAUUUUUCUAAAAACCGUAGAGUGGCGCCACUGCAGUAUUUGUUUGGUCGACAUACCACGUUGGUUGUAGUGAAUGCACCUUGCAGUAAGGCGGUAUUUGAGUUAUAUUUUAGAAGUGCCUAGACAAAAUCUGCUCCUUGUCGUGUGCAGUAACCAUCGCAAACCCUCCGGACUUGUGUAACGCCGUUAGUUCGCCGUGUGUUUCGUGCGAUCUACCAGUGUCGACAGUGAGUGUCUUACUACAGCGCCCGUCCGAGCUGCCUUUGUUCUGCCGAGCUGCCUGCCCGCGCUCUCGUGAAAAGUCUGGUACUGGAGCUUCGAAUCGUAGUGUAUGGAAGACUGUUGAAGGUUGUGCUUUUGUGGAGCUGGAGUUCAUCGGAAGUUCUACAGUGCUUGCGCCAGAAAAACGUCGGUGCCUCGGUACCUUUGAGACGAAGGAGCGUUGGCCAAGUCUUUUUGAAAGGCUAUGCGGAUUCUGGAGGCAUCCCUACAUCAAGCAGGAACCUGCUGCACUGCUGGAAGCUGGACAGCACGACAAUAAAGCACGUGAUCUGUGUGCUUUCUCAAAGGUAGACAUCGGCGACGGUGUUUAUGUUGAAAAGUGCCUGCUGAAGAGGCUGCGCCUGGAUGCUAACAACUCAGGCUUUCAGUUCGCGGGGGGCCUCCUUAAGGCUCCUUUUACAAAAGAAGAGGUUGAAGGGAGGCGCUACACAUGGAUGCGCAGCGAUUGUUUGUGACAUCGUCACUGCUGGCAGGCCUGGCCUGCCUUUUCGCUUCGUUCUGGGUCUUCCACGUUAUCUACUUGAAAAGGCCCACAGGGUUUUGACAUUUAUUGAGCACUGCUUUCUGGAUUUGAGCUACACAAAGCUGCAGGUGAAAGCAUUGGAUUUAGUCAAUAUUUACAAGAACUAUUGCUAGGCAAAAAAAUUUUCAGAUGCAUAUCCUCAAGAAAGUUUCUGUAAAAAUUAUUUUGCCUAACAAAAGCACUCGUGGGUUCUGUGGCUGGCAGCUUGCCCAAGCCAUGUAGCACAGUGCUUGCUUUAAAGGGACACGAAAGGGAAAAUUUAUUUGAGCGUUAUUAAAUCAUUUUUCUACAACACCGAAAAAACAACUCCCUCUAUGAGAAUUGGCUUGAUAAGCCAGAUAACUUGCAAAAACGAAAACUGGUGUCGCCACCACCACCUUAUAAUUCCUGCACCAGCUCGCUGUGAUAUGGAAUUUGACGGUGUCUGUUCGGGUCUAGCUAAUGUUCUACUGGCCAAUAUUGAUGAAUUCUGUUGUAAAGGUGUCAAAGAAUAUACUUAGUUGAAGUAUGACUCCACACUGAUGUGCGGGCACUGCAUAAAACUUGAAAGAUAAAUCUUCAUUUUCUCAUCUAUUAAUCCGCUUAUUGCCACAAUGUUCAUGAAUACAGUUCUGAAAGAUUGUUUUAUCAGUCUAAAAUGAUUUAUUGUUUCUCUUUAGUAUCUCUGUAAUGGACCUUUAGCAACAAAAUGUGUGUUAGUUUGCGACAGGUAUUCUCGGCGGGGGCAAGAGCACCAGCAGCAUGCUCAGUGAUUCUGUACCAACUGAUAAUUUGAAGGAUGUCCUGUGCCACUAGGGUUAGGCCAACAUGGCUCUGUGUUAAUCACCACAAGUGUAUUAUGCAAAACUUAAUGGCCCAGAAAUUGGUAAUUCAGGGGGGAGUUGAAUUAGCUGUUUAUUUUUUUUUUCUUUAUCAUGGACUUCUCACAUUACACUUUGUCACAACGCAUUCACUUUAAAGUAACUGGAGAAUAAGGUGGUUUGGUAUUCAGACAUGCCUUCUGUGUGUAAACAGUGUUAGAUGAGCAAUACAAAGAUACACCAUAGAUGCUGACUGGCAACAUGAAGGGGUUUGAGGGCAGCUACGAAUAUACAUCCUUGUAGUCGUACCUAUAGCACUAUGUUCAAUUUGUCACACAAGCAUAUGGCAUCCAUCACAACUGCAUGCCUAGAAAAAGACAAGGGCAACACACUCAAUUACCUUUUAUUCUAUCUAAGAAGCACUACAAUAUUUAGGCAACGAAAUUGACAUCUGGCUUGUACCCAUAAGUACUGCAAUACAGUUGUAUAACAUGUUCCUCUUGUGUGGAAAAAGGGCUGCAUACGUUUUCUUUGAGCACAAGGGGGAGUGGUAUCAGUUAAAGCCCCUCCAUCCACGCGCCACUGCCGCUUUCUUAAGUAGCGACAACCUUUGUUGUGCGCCGCCUUUUCCCCCGACAUCAAAUCCGGUUCCAGCA